AUUGAACGCUGGCGGCAUGCCUUACACAUGCAAGUCGAACGGCAGCACGGGAGCAAUCCUGGCGGCGAGUGGCGAACGGGUGAGUAAUACAUCGGAACGUACCUGGUAGUGGGGGAUAGCCCGGCGAAAGCCGGAUUAAUACCGCAUACGACCUGAGGGUGAAAGCGGGGGAUCGCAAGACCUCGCGCUAUUGGAGCGGCCGAUGGCAGAUUAGGUAGUUGGUGGGGUAAAGGCCUACCAAGCCUGCGAUCUGUAGCUGGUUUGAGAGGACGACCAGCCACACUGGGACUGAGACACGGCCCAGACUCCUACGGGAGGCAGCAGUGGGGAAUUUUGGACAAUGGGCGCAAGCCUGAUCCAGCCAUGCCGCGUGCGGGAAGAAGGCCUUCGGGUUGUAAACCGCUUUUGUCGGGGAAGAAACGGUGGAGGUUAAUACCUUCUGCUAAUGACGGUACCCGAAGAAUAAGCACCGGCUAACUACGUGCCAGCAGCCGCCGUAA
rnacentral:rRNA from 1 species